rnacentral:rRNA from 1 species
CACGUAGGGCGCAAGCGUUGUCCGGAAUUAUUGGGCGUAAAGAGCGUGUAGGCGGCCCGGUAAGUCCGCUGUGAAAGUCGGGGGCUCAACCCUCGAAUGCCGGUGGAUACUGUCGGGCUAGAGUGCGGAAGAGGCGAGUGGAAUUCCUGGUGUAGCGGUGAAAUGCGCAGAUAUCAGGAGGAACACCAAUUGCGAAGGCAGCUCGCUGGGACGUAACUGACGCUGAGACGCGAAAGCGUGGGGAGCAAACAGG